ensembl:snRNA U6 U6 spliceosomal RNA
GCGCUUGCUUCAGCAGCACAUAUACUAAGAUUGUAUCGAUAUAGAGAAGAUUAGCAUGGCUCCUACACAAGGAUGGCACACAAAUUAGUGAAGCGUUCCAUAUUUAA